rnacentral:rRNA from 1 species
CAAUAGCGUAUAUUAAAGUUGUUGCGGUUAAAAAGCUCGUAGUUGGAUUUCUGCUGAGGACGACCGGUCCGCCCUCUGGGUGAGUAUCUGGCUCGGCCUUGGCAUCUUCUUGGGGAACGUAACUGCACUUGACUGUGUGGUGCGGUAUCCAGGACUUUUACUUUGAGGAAAUUAGAGUGUUUAAAGCAGGCUUUUGCUGUGAAUACAUUAGCAUGGAAUAAUAAUCUAGGACUUCGGUUCUAUUUUGUUGGUUUCUAGUACUGAAGGUAAUGAUUUGAUAGGGAUAGUUGGGGGGUUGCUAGUAUUGGCCGGCCAGAGGUGAAAUUCUUGGAUUCGGUCAAGACUAACUUAUGCGAAAGCAUUCACCAAGGAUGUCUUCUUUAAUCAAGAACGAAAGUUGGGGGAUCGAAGAUGAUUAGAU